CCUAUAGGUCGUCAUUAACUUCAAAGUCAUGUAUGAGAAGAUGAUCUAUCUACUGAAGAAUAAAGAGGCUAGGGACGCCAAUCUAAUCAUUCUCUAAGAAGAGAAGAAAAAGAAGUCCGAACUCGUCAUCGGACUCAAACAUCAACUCGAGGAGAAGUUGAAGGCCUUGAAAGAAAAAAAUCAGAACUUACUGAACCUUCAGCAAAAAGUUAACAAGCCAGAGAAGAAGAUUUUUGCUAUACAUAUUGC
rnacentral:lncRNA from 1 species